ACUGGGAGGAGCUGGGAAACGCUAUCUUCUGGGCACAGGAAUGUCAAAAGGUGAUAUCACAGCACAGAGGACUGCCAGCACGGGAUUGCACAACACUGGGCUUAUCAACAGCUAACCACGGACAGGAAAAGGUUCUCAGUGACUGGUGGAUUCUGGGAAGGGAUAGUCAUUGUCUUCAGUUGUGUACCCAAGGUGAGCCAGCUAGGCUCCAGAGGAGAGUUCUGCAGACACACAGAUAGCCCUGGUUAAAAUCAGUGGUUCACAAAACAGAACAAUAUACCAGGAGCUGGAGUAUGGUGAGCAGUUACAGAAAGAAACCACUCAAAGAAAGCUGCAUCACAAAACUCCAUCUCAGGGUGGGAGCCAGUUCUGGGAAGCUGCAGGACACUAGCUCACCAGGUACCUGGGCUUGUCUGAGAGUUACUUUUAGUGUGUGUGUGUGUGUGUUUGGAGCGGGAGGGACCCAGUGAAUCUGGUCAGUUUCAGGAACUUCCUAAAGCUAGCUUGAGCUGCUUACUUCCGGUCUUAAUGAUCUUCCAUGCAGGACAGAAUGGGUCAAUCUGGAGGAUAUUUCUACAUAGCAAAGAGAAAGGGGGAAGAUGGAAGACAGCAAUAGGAGUGGAAAGAUAUGCUCUUACACAAACAUAGGCACAUACACAAAUAUACACACAAAUAUAUUAAAAAAUAUCACAAAGAAAACCACUUCUUUGUGUGCUAAUAAAAAUCAAUUAAAAACUUAAAAAUGAUUAUAUACGUACAUUUAUAUGUAUAUGUAUAUAUAUAUAUAUGAAUUGGGUUUUUUCUUUUUUGAGACUUUGCUUAUCUAUGUAUCCUGGCUUGGAUUUGCCUUUUAGGCCAGUCUGGCUUUGCACUUCCUGGGCACCUGCUUUUUCAUUCAUUUUUAACAUUAGCAUAUAAAGUAAUGUGUUUCAUUAUCAUUUUCAAUUUAGACUCGCAGAGCAUUUCCUGCUCUGAGGACGCCACAGUGGGGAAGGGGUUUGCCUGUCGAUAUAAGAAGUAUAAGAAGCCAUAUUUUAUAGCUUUAAGGCUGUAUGAGAUUCCUUCUCAAUUUAUAGUGAGAUCUUCACACAUCUAUUCUAAAUGCAAGUUCAAAUGGAAAUGCUUCACGGCUCCCAGCCAGCGGAAGAGAGAGGGAAAGGAAGGAUAUAAUAAUUUAAGCCUGGUUCUAUGCUGACAGAUUCGAGGCAAUAGGCACACAGGCAGCUUUACCUUUCAGGGCCAGGCAGCUUCCAGGUUUAGGGGUGCUUAUGAAAAUGAGGAUUUGCGAGUGCUGAGUGGCUAUCUUGACUUUCGAGUAAGAGGGCAGGACAUAUUGAUGGCUCAUUCAAGGAUGCUCCACAGCGCUCCUGAUUUGUCAUUGUGAGACAAUCAGGUUCUUUCUUUUCUGGUGGUUUGUCUACUGCUAUGCUUUGUUUCAUUUCUGUUGUUCUCGUGCAAUGUUCUAAAAUUCUGAGACUGUCUGAAGGCAAGAUGAAGAUUCAGGGAAAAUUGGGGGAAUAAGAAAAGAGAGAGGAGAGCCACGUAAGGAGGCAUCUGGUUGAUGCCUCUCACCAGGAACUGCUCAAGAAUUCCAGCUUAAGACCAUUGACCCUUUCCAGGCACACAGCUGAAAACUCCCAGGAACCACACAAGAAACCCACUUAUUUACGGGCAAAGGAGCUGUGUUAACCCUCUUGGGCAACCUUAUUUGUUUCUGGUUUCAUCCGAUUAUAUUUCCAUGCAAAGCACCUGUGAUGGUUUGUAUAUCCUUGGACCAGGGAGUGGCACCAUCUGAAGGUGUGGCCUUGUUGGAAUAGGUGUGACCUGGUUGGAAUGGGUGUGUCACUGUGGGUGUGGGUAUAAGAUCCUCACCUUAGUUACCUGGAAGUCGGUCUUCCAAUAGCAGCCUUUGGAUGAAGACAUAGAACUCUCGGCUCCUCCUGCACUAUGCCUGCCUGGAUACUGCCAUGCUCCCACCUUGAUGAUAAUAGACUGAACCUCUGAACCUGUAAGCCAGCCCCAAUUAAAUGUUGUUUUUUUAUAAGACUUGCCUUGGUCAUGGUGUCUGUUCACAGCAGUAAAACCCUAACUAAGACAACACCUUUGGAGUUGCCUUCUCUAUCAGUCACUCUUACCAAAGGGAGAGGGGUGGGGGUUUCUUGGCACCAAUAUAAAAUGUAACUUGAGAGCCACCAACACGGUCUACAUAGCUAAUGCUCAGGCAAUUACUGGCCUCCUCUCCCUUGAGAAGUACUUGGUACUGCUUACGUCACCCCAUGUGCCUUUGGGAAGCACGUUGCCCCGCUUUGUAUGUCAAACUUUAUUCCGAGAGCCCCUCUUUUGUUGAGCCCUUCUGUAUAACCCUGGAUUAAAAUAUCUCUAAUAAAAUCCUCAACUUAUUUCCUAAUCUGAUAAGCCCUGAAAUUAUUUUCAUCUUCAAAGCUACAAAACCAAGUCUGGCUUGAGUUAGAUCCUUAAGAAUUAGGAGAACUUUUCGAUGUACUGAUGGUCACAGUGUGAAGAAAUGUCUCUCCCCUCGCUGUCGUCUCUUUCUUUUCUAGGUAACAGA